GAUGAACGCUGGCGGCGUGCCUAAUACAUGCAAGUCGAGCGAACAGACGAGGAGCUUGCUCCUCUGACGUUAGCGGCGGACGGGUGAGUAACACGUGGAUAACCUACCUAUAAGACUGGGAUAACUUCGGGAAACCGGAGCUAAUACCGGAUAAUAUAUUUAACCGCAUGGUUCAAUAGUGAAAGACGGUUUUGCUGUCACUUAUAGAUGGAUCCGCGCCGCAUUAGCUAGUUGGUAAGUUAACGGCUUACCAAGGCAACGAUGCGUAGCCGACCUGAGAGGGUGAUCGGCCACACUGGAAAUGAGACAAGGUCCAGACUCCUACGGGAGGCAGCAGUAGGGAAUCUUCCGCAAUGGGCGAAAGCUUGCCGGAGCAACGCCGCGUGAGUGAUGAAGGUCUUCGGAUCGUAAAACUAUGUUAUUAGGGAAGAACAAAUGUGUAAGUAACUAUGCACGUCUUGACGGUACCUAAUCAGAAAGCCACGGCUAACUACGUG
rnacentral:rRNA from 1 species